CUUGCCUGUUUGGUUAAAUCAUCUAUUGAUGACUGACAGUUUUUGAUGCAGUGCUAUCUGACAGAUCAGAGAUCACAGGUGUUCA